GAUGAACGCUGGCGGCGUGCUUAACACAUGCAAGUCGAACGGUGAAGCAGGAGCUUGCUCUUGUGGAUCAGUGGCGAACGGGUGAGUAACACGUGAGCAACCUGCCCCUGACUCUGGGAUAAGCGCUGGAAACGGCGUCUAAUACUGGAUAUGUGAUGUGACCGCAUGGUCUGCAUCUGGAAAGAAUUUCGGUUGGGGAUGGGCUCGCGGCCUAUCAGCUUGUUGGUGAGGUAAUGGCUUACCAAGGCGUCGACGGGUAGCCGGCCUGAGAGGGGAACCGGCCACACUGGGACUGAGGCACGGCCCAGACUCCUACGGGAGGCAGCAGUGGGGAAUAUUGCGCAAUGGGCGGAAGCCUGAUGCAGCAACGCCGCGUGAGGGAUGACGGCCUUCGGGUUGUAAACCUCUUUUAGCAGGGAAGAAGCGAAAGUGACGGUACCUGCAGAAAAAGCACCGGCUAACUACGUGCCAGCCGCCGCCGUAA
rnacentral:rRNA from 1 species